rnacentral:rRNA from 1 species
UACGUAGGGUGCAAGCGUUAUUCGGAAUUACUGGGCGUAAAGCGCACGUAGGCGGCUUUGUAAGUAAGAGGUGAAAGCCCAGAGCUCAACUCUGGAAUUGCCUUUUAGACUGCAUCGCUUGAAUCAUGGAGAGGUCAGUGGAAUUCCGAGUGUAGAGGUGAAAUUCGUAGAUAUUCGGAAGAACACCAGUGGCGAAGGCGGCUGACUGGACAUGUAUUGACGCUGAGGUGCGAAAGCAUGGGGAGCAAACAGG